rnacentral:rRNA from 1 species
AGUGAACGCUGGCGGUAGGCCUAACACAUGCAAGUCGAACGGCAGCACAGGAGAGCUUGCUCUCUGGGUGGCGAGUGGCGGACGGGUGAGGAAUACAUCGGAAUCUACCUUUUCGUGGGGGAUAACGUAGGGAAACUUACGCUAAUACCGCAUACGACCUUCGGGUGAAAGCAGGGGACCUUCGGGCCUUGCGCGGAUAGACGAGCCGAUGUCGGAUUAGCUAGUUGGCGGGGUAAAGGCCCACCAAGGCGACGAUCCGUAGCUGGUCUGAGAGGAUGAUCAGCCACACUGGAACUGAGACACGGUCCAGACUCCUACGGGAGGCAGCAGUGGGGAAUAUUGGACAAUGGGCGCAAGCCUGAUCCAGCCAUACCGCGUGGGUGAAGAAGGCCUUCGGGUUGUAAAGCCCUUUUGUUGGGAAAGAAAAGCAGCCAGUUAAUACCUGGUUGUUCUGACGGUACCCAAAGAAUAAGCACCGGCUAACUUCGUGCCAGCAGCCGCGGUAAGAC